AGAUCUUGAAGGUCCAUCAACACCAUCAUAGCCACCUGCUUGAGAGCCACUCAGGAGCAGCAGGACCAACCCCCAUCAGUCUCAGGGAGGGGCCCAUUGGGUACCAUGGCUCAAACUCAGCUCAUUCGGCAUGGAAGCAAGCAAAGUUACCCACUGAGCCUUCACGUAGCAUUCUUACACUGGUGGGACUCUCUUCGAAAAGACACAAAUGCCUCAGAGAGAGCAGAGCAGGCAGACUGAAGCUCUGUCAGCAAAUAAAAUCAAAUCAGCCUGACUUGUGAUAUUUACUGGCUUGCAGCAACCCGACCGCAGGUAUGGAUCUUGGCUACCAGUGCUUGGUCUAAGGACCGCUUUGCUGUGUGGCGUUCUUGUGGCUCUGGCUAACUGGUACCCAGGAGACGGUCCAGCACAUCUCCAAGAGGACAUCCAAAUGGCCUAC
ensembl:antisense Gm15523 predicted gene 15523